CAUCCAUUGGGUGAAGACUGAGAGAAGAUUCUUGGAGAAUAGCAAUCAAAUACUGCUUUAGACAUCAUGAUUUUGAGCUGCAGUACCUUCCAGUCUUGGCGAGUUGAUUUCCCUGUCCAUCUCCUUCACUCUGAGUGUCUCCUGUCACUUCUCUGAAGAUUCACGAUGCUCUCUCCAAGAGGAUCCAUCCACAGAUUACCAUGGGCUUUGAAGGAUAAUACAUAAGAUGUUAUACAUACCUCCCAAUACGUCCUCAAAUUAUAUAUCUUCUCUUCCCUGGAUUACACAUCCUCAGUAUACUAUAUGAAAGGAGGGUUCAUCAAAUACUAUGUGGAG